rnacentral:hammerhead_ribozyme from 1 species
AUCUAGCUGACAAGUCCCGAAUAGGACGAAACGCGAGUCCUGGAU